rnacentral:rRNA from 1 species
AACGUAGGGGGCAAGCGUUGUCCGGAUUUAUUGGGCGUAAAGAGCGUGUAGGCGGUUAGGUAGGUCCGUUGUGAAAACUCGAGGCUCAACCUCGAGACGCCGAUGGAAACCAUCUGACUAGAGUCCGGAAGAGGAGAGUGGAAUUCCUGGUGUAGCGGUGAAAUGCGCAGAUAUCAGGAAGAACACCCGUGGCUAAGGCGGCUCUCUAGUACGGUACUGACGCUGAGACGCGAAAGCGUGGGGAGCGAACAGG